rnacentral:ncRNA from 1 species
AUCACUGAGAGUCUGAUCCUGGCUCAGGGUGAACGCUGGCGGCAUGCCUAAGGAAUGCAAGUCGAACGGCCUUGUGCUCUGCGCAAGGCAGUGGCGGACGGGUGAGUAACGCGUAGGAAUCUGCCCCUAAGUUAAGAAUAGCUCUGCGAAAGUAGAGAUAAUACUGGAUAGCCCUUGUCCUCAGGACAAGGAAAUUCCAAACAGAAAUUCCAAAUCGCAAAUCACAAAUACCAAACAAUAUCAAAUGAACAAAAUCCAAAAUUCAAAACAUUUUGGAAUUUAUAAUUAGCUAGUUGGUGGGGUAAUGGCCUACCAAGGCUACGACGGGUAGGGGGUGUGAGAGCAUGGCCCCCCACAGUGGCACUGAGACACGGGCCACACGCCUACGGGUGGUAGCAUUCAGGAAUCUUGCGCAAUGGGCGAAAGCCUGACGCAGCGAUGCCGCGUGGAGGAUGAAGGCCGAAAGGUUGUAAACUUCUUUUGUCCGAUGUAACAUCGGACGAAUAAGCACCUGCUAACUACGUGCCAGAAGCCUCGGUCAAACGUAGGGUGCAAGCGUUACCCGGAAUUACUGGGCGUAAAGGGUUAGGUAGGCGGGAAGGUAAGUUUUUGGUUAAAGCCCCCAACUUAAUUGGGGAAAUGCCGAAAAUACUGCUUUCCUAGAGAUAGAGAGGGGAAAGUGGAAUUUGCAGUGUAGGGGUUAAAUCCGUUGAUAUUGCAAAGAACACCAAAGGCGAAGGCAGCUUUCUGGCUCUAUUCUGACGCUGAUCUACGAAAGCUAGGGGAGCGAAAGGGAUUAGAUACCCCUGUAGUCCUAGCCGUAAACGAUCCUCGCUAGAUCUAUGUCUCA